GUACACCUUUGGGCUUUGUGUUUGUGUGGAAAAUGGCUGUCUUUAUUGGGGUGGUGGAAAAACAUCCUCGCUCACACACACACGCGUGCAGCGUUUGGAAGAGAAAUCCAAGCCGCUUUUCCUGGCAGCCACUACGCCUCCUUCGAUUCGCCUCCCAGCCCAGGCUGCUCCACUGUGGCGUGCAAAAAGCAGAAGAAAAAAAUAAAACCGGAGCAAUGUAUGGCUGUAUCCGGUCGCCCGGGUGAUGAUGAGGCCCGGUCGGUUACCGUUUGCACAGCGGCCGACAGCCCUCAGCACGGUUGGCCGGCUAGUGGCAGGCCUUGCCCGCUUCGAAGAAUUGACAGUUUAUCGAUGGAAAAGACGCCAACCGCACUCGUAGUGACAAUUUUUACGGUGACAGACUCGGUCGCGGCAGGAAAAUCGCGUACCCGGCUCCCGCUGUACGAUACAGUAACCGCGGAGGAAGCAGCUACAACACGGCAAAGGUGUUUCCCCCCCGGUUCUGGUGGUGAAUAAAACUACACUUGACAGUGGUGUGCUACAGGGCGGUGUGUUGCAAAGUUUUAAACGCCUUAAUCGUGACGAAAAGUUUUUCCAACGCCACGAAAGGCUGAUCGUGCACGGGAACAGUUUUGCAAAUUCGUGCUGAAAGUCUGUGCUUCCGCAAAAGCCGGCCAAAGCGGCUAUUUAAAACCCGAAUCAAACACCGGAAGCGAUUCGCGGCACACGGCACACGGUCCCAUUCAUUCUGUUGCCCGACGGCCGUAAAGCAAGGCCCCCGCCGUUCGAGCCUCGCCAUCGAAUGUGCCGGGGCGAUAGUAAGCCGCGGCCCCGGUGUGACCGGCUGUCGGUCGAACGUGUUGAGAUGAAGCGCUGAUAGCCGGUUCCGCCAUGCAGUCAGAGAGGGCGCUUAUCAUCCGAUUCCGGGAACCCAACCACGAGGCACACGAUGCAACGCGUCGCACGGAAAAUGAACCAUCAUCAUUCACCCUGGGUUAAAUUAUCCUACUCUCUCUCUCUCCCCUCGCCUGUGCCCUCGUUCACGCCACGGACAUCCCGCCACCACUGAAAUGCCGAUGACAAUGUUCCGGUGUCCAAAUCCCUAACAAACCAGCGUGUUGCCGCACGUACCGAACCUCCACUAUCAGCCGUUCUUGCCGCCGUUGUCCUCCACGUUCUAUGUUCUAUCUUUUGCGCCGCUUAUCAUUGUGCACACAGACACACUGCCAGGCGAAGGGCCAACGCACCGAGCGAGCGAGCGGCGUCGAAAACGCGCGACGGUCGACACAUUACCCGGGAUCCCGGGCGGUUUCGGGACGGUUGGAAGGAUCGGUUUUAAAGUCGGCCCGUGAAAGCGAAGCCGAACGUAUUUGCUCACACAAUCUACAUCCCACCCCAUUGGCCGUCCCGAUUGGCCCCGCGAGCAACACACAUUUGAAUAAGGAUAAGGUCAUCAUCGUUCGUCGGUCCGUUUCCUUCGCUUGCCGGGACUGUUUUCCCGGGUGACGGUAAAGCCAGCGGGCCCCGGUACCAGCUGGUCGCCAUUUUAUGAUGCGUAUAAUGCGUGCCUUCAUUCCCGAAAACGUUUGACUGGUCCCGCAUUUCGAUUGGGUUUUAGCGGAGCUGAUAAGAACGGGGACGGAAUCUGAAUCAAAGCUGCCGGUACGGGACAGCAUUCCAGCGGGUCCACGGGGUGAGUUUCAGGGUGCACAGUAUGCACAGCACCCAAAAGCCCUGAAGAUGAUCAUACGUGAGUUAAUGUGUGUGUGUAUGUUUGUGUGCUGCUUGUGUGAAUAAGUGUGCGACCGUGUGUUGUCGAACGAAAAGCCAACGCAACCCAAUUUCGUUCUUUGUGUCGCGCGGUGCUGGGAAGAUAGGGAAGAUGCCGAGCGCCGUGACGCAGAUUCCCUCGCCUUUGCCCGGGCUGCCGUUGUUUACCGAAAGUAUCAUAUAGCGAUAAUACGUGCCUCGGUGACUCGGUAAGGAAAGUACGUUAAGAUUUCGCCUUCACACCGACACCCAGGACAGCUGCUGCGGCAAAAGGCCGCCGUCCCGCCAUUUCCCAAGCGCAAUCGAAGCGUCUUCUGCGCAGCGUCUUCUUUGUUCGUGCAGGCUGUCGAGAAAUGGCUGCCAAGGCAGGCAAGAAGUAUUGCCUUCUGCGACCGUCUUCCCUCAAUCCGGGACCGUUCCCGGAUUGGAGCUUAGUCAUCGAAUUCGUACUAUUGUACACACCCCGGGUGCCGUUGUUGUGAGAUGGCGGCCAGUUGUGUAUUUGUGGCGAGAGGUGACGGGACGCGGCAGCGCUUUGGAAGCUCCGGGUGUUUCCGGGUAAAGGCUUUCUGCCAUCGUCAGCCCCUUUUCCGCAGGGGUUUGUGCUGAUUCAAGCAAGGCGCUCUAAUAGCCUGUACCUCAAGAACCGUCGGUUCUCCACCGGAAGGAUGCGAACCCAGGACACGUCCCCAGGUCCGGGAGUUUGAAUCCGUAUCCGUUACCGCUCUGAGUCUGAGCACGCGGCGUGAUAGAUUAAAUCGUGCAAGGCUUCUUGGGUUUAAGCUUUGUUUGUGGCGCUCUGCGGCUUCUGUUUGAAGGCAAACACGUAUGACCCAUAGAACGAUAAGAGGAUGUGUGAAAUAGUUUCCGUUUGAUUCGAUUUCAACGCUUUAGGUCCAUUCUACAAAUCUUUCUUUGGAGUCUUUCUUGUAGGUUUAACUUUGUAAUUAUGUAUAGAAAUUGGAAAUAGCCAUAUUUUUUCCUCCAAACUAUGCCUCUAUUCAAUUCUAAAGCUCACCGCCUUGCUGGAAGCUUUUUCGUCCCAAGCAACGCACUGGCAUUGAUUUAUCUUAUCGACAACAGAUUCCCGGACAACUGAUUGUAAAAAACCGGUUUAAAAUGAUUCGCUGUUUGCUCUGGCCUCCUCCAUUGUUUAUCUAUGGCGGUGACAUUUGAUUGGGUUGUAAGCGAUAAUGGGUGUUUUAUCAAAACCGAUCGACACCUAACGUUGGGUUUGCCGCCAAACAUGGACGAUUGAUGUUCAGGUUUUUUUUAUUUGUUAAAUUAGCCACCACAAAACAACAACAGAAAGAAAAAAGUGAACAACCAACCAGUAGCGUCGAAGUAGUUGUCUUCUUGCUGAUGGCACCGAUUUGAUUUGUGUCCCCUGGGAGGUAUAGCUGGAAUUGUGUGUGUGUGUUUUUUAUGAAGGAAGGUUGGCUAAUUUUAAAUCGAUAACUGACCGAGUUGUGCUGCCGUCUAUCAGCCGCUCGAAGUGGCGCGUGACUUUUGGGGGCCACUUUUUGUCGACGCUUUCCGGUCUAUCUUUCUGGGCACGCGACAUGCGUACCAGUUGCUUUAUCAGCAGCUGGCGAGACGUGCGUAACCGUUCACCGACGGUAUUUAAGAUCGUUGAUACUAUUUCUGUAGAUUUGUUGAUUUGUUGUUUUGCGGCUGAUCGGUAUUUCGUGGAAAAUCGGUGGACUAGCGGAGGGAGGUGUGUCGAUUAAUUUACGACACCCUGAAUCACUAGCCAAACAUUUGCGAAUUAUGUUUGGCUUCCCCGUAACCUAAUCAAACGUGUUUUAAUACCAAGCUAAGAGUUUUUAAAACUGUUUGCAAAGCUAAUUCAACCAAACGCUACGUUUUAAGCCGCGUCACAUCUCGCCCCUCUCGCGCGAUCGCAUCGCAUUUAGUAAGGCACUCAUGAGUACCCGCAGAGCCCGUUAGUUAGUGUGGCUUGGUCAGCAGCCUAACUCGCCAACCGGGGUUUGCUUAGUUGUUUGUUUUCUCCAUUCCCGGCAUUCCGGCAAAUGUGUUUGUGUUCACAAAAAAUCAUCGUAUCAUUACAAUAAUCACAUAGCAAGCCACUUCCAGCUCGUUGCGUCUCCGUUUCCCCCAUUGCCACGCAACCAGCUGACAGCUUGAAGGCAGCUUAAAGAAAGAACACGCACAAAAAAGCAUUCCCCAAAUCGAUUUUUAAGGCCUUAAAGUGCCGUUUCCAAAGCGAAGCCACAGACGGCCGAAGCCGCCGCAGUAAACAAGCGUCGCACACGGAACUGCACGAGGUAUGGCCCCCGGGGGGACGGGAGACGUGCAAGCGGUUCCGUCUGGGUAAGGUAAGUGAAAAUGUACAUAAAUCCCAUCGCAUCGCAUCGAGCAACCAUCUCACCUCCGAAAAAUCACAGCUAAUAAUUAAGAAAUAAACAUUGUUAAAGCUUAUCGGACAAACAGCGACUCGGCCGUGCGGCAUGAGACAUGGAGGAAGAAUAAAAAUUGCUUGUCUAAAUAUUGUGUCUCGGAGUUGGUGUUUUGUGUGUGGUUCGUCUUUUUUUGGUUUUACUUUUGGUAGCGCAAAACCAUUCGUAUACCUCGCCGUGCAGCUUGGGUAGGAAUGAUCCGAAAAAACAAAAACCCCUCACCGUACUGAAGGUGUCGGUUGUAUGAGUCGUGUGACUUUAAGAAUGGUUUCGCUGGUCAUUACACAUUUUCAAGGUAGAAAGGCAACGACAUUUAUGCAAUGAGCGUGUUUGGUUUGGAUGGUUUACCCUCCAGCACGGACAUCUAUCGUUCGAUUUCCCCGGCCUAAGCCCAACUAUUGGCGUCAAAAGUCACACCAACCAACAACUCCGGCCGUCAGUUUUGACAGUUGGUGCAGCUGCUGCUGCUGUGACCGUGGGGUCGUCCAAGGAUCCUCUGCUUACCCUCUCCCUGUACGCAACGCGCCGCCUGAAUGUAGUUAUCUACCGAUCCGGUACGUCACAAAAGGUGCAAUUCAAUUACAGUGCCCUUGCAUACGCCUUUUUAUAUUGUCUGCUGUGCGUGUGUUUACCUAUUGACAGUUACCUAAACCCAGGCACCCAGGCUUGAAGGGUGGACACGGUGGACAGUUGUGCUUGGUUCGGCCAGGGUGCCCCAAUUAUAAUGUGACCAUCGUGCGGUAAGAAGAUAGCGCUUUGUGACAAGAGCGAAGGGAAGAGUGACCGACAGAAUAACAACCACAACAUAAAAACUGAUUUGUCAUUGCAUGUAGGGCUGAUCGAGAAUGUCGACUUAUAGCUAUUAGGAUCGUCAGUUUGUGGAGGAAUAGAUGAACAGAUCGCGGAUGGAAUGGAACGUGACAUGGAAUGAUGUGGCAUUUUUGUGCGUAGUGUGCCACGAACAUUGUACUUACUCUUGAUAAUAAUAAAGGCAAUUCGGAAAACUGUUAUACACUGUUAUACGGUUUAUGUUUUGCGUAUUAUCAUGCUUAAUUUUAUUAUUUUCUCCUUUAACUUACCCUUCAUUGUCAUCUCGGCCACCACUGGUGCUAGAUCCAACUGAUCGAGAGCAUCAGCAAUAUCUUUUACCCACUUACGCUUGCACCGAGCGAAAAGUCUGAAGUGAUCGACGAUGCUCACUGCGCUCACCCUGAACGUGCUCAAAACUGCCGAUUGCAUUCGACCGUGAUAUCCUCCACCACCCAGGACCACCCAGGUUCGUACUGGAUCCUUCAAGCACCGUGACUCUUGCUGGCCACGGCCUCCCGGCAGUCCGUGUAAGCGCAGUGACAUCAUUCGGCAUUCGGUACUUACUGCCUGUACGCCAUCGUCGUGAUGGAGAAGACUUUAUUUAUAGAAGCCUACGCCGUGUCGGUCGAGGGAGAGAAAAAAAAGCACGAGACAAACGAAGACGGAGGCAAACAAAUUAUGCUGCAAAGGUAAGAAACCGUGGGACAGUUUGGUUGGUUAGUGAAACCGAUAAAAACUCGUCCAUGAGGACGGUUCCAGUGUUGAGAGAUGAUUAUUUUCACGGUUAUGAAGGUACUUUGGGGAUGAAUUGAUGUUUACCUUUUUAUGUUUUCCCCGAAAACAUUAAACUAGACUUAUUCAUUUAAAGAUAAGCUAUCUGGAUCUAUUUCGCUGUUUUGUUUGUCAUACGCGUCCCUUGCCUAGAGUAACUCUCUUCACAAGAUUAUUGCAUCCAAUGUUUGCGCACGUAAGCACUGGGACAAAACAUUCAAAUUAAACCUCAUUUUGCGUUCCGGCAUGCACCAAAGAUUGAUGGAAAUGAACAAACGACAUCGACCACGGCCACCACAUUAAGGGAACUCAUUGAAAGGAUUAAAGCCCAUAAUGAUAUUGACACACUUCAGGUACUCAAGGACCCAUUCAACAGCGGAGUCGGAUUGGUGUACAGUGAGUACAGUCACGGGCAUGCACGCGCCUACCCGCCAAGCAAGCAGAGGUAGAACAAUAGGCCUCCGAAACCCAAUUCGUAGGGCGGAAGUUACGGGUGGAAGUUUCCGUUUUUUUUUCUUCCUUCCGUUCGCCGAAACACCUGUAGCAUGGUGGCAGUUCCGGAGCUUUUCUAGCCCUUGGAAUGGUUGUGAAUAAUGAAUAAUAAAGUAGCCCGUUUUGUUGCCCACAAAUCCGUUGCCCCUGAUGGUCGGCUUACCGCUGCUAGAGGAAGACAACUGGGAAAUGGGUGAUUGGUUUCUUUUUUUGUUGUAGAUUCGUCACUUUUCGGAACCAUAUCUGACCAACCGAUUCAUUCACAACAGUGCGAGUGGUUGUACCGUUUUGUUUCGGACGUCCAGACUCCUUCCGCCAAAUCGGCACACGCUCAAUAGACUGGAAAAUGCGUUCGGUAAGGAGAACUUCUUUCAAUUUCCCUUCUCCAGUGCUUGCUGGAGUAUUAAUCCCUUCCGUAGGCUACUGGCCUUUUUUUUUGCAGACCCCGACACGGUUGAAUUUCUUUCAAUGAGCACUUUCUUGAGACGUAUAUUGAAGGAAUUUGUUAUUAUUCCUAUUCCCAUCGCCAACAAAAAAGGUUAUUUUCUUGUCUAUUUCUUGGUUUUAGAGUCGCUGGAAGCUCUAUUUUUAGGCAUUGAUAGACGCAGAGGGCCACUUAGCGGGACAAUAACGGGCGGAACGGCGCAUGAAAUUGAAGGCAGGACAAUGGCUGCGCAGAUCUCGCUUCCUGACACGGCAGCAAAGCAGCAGCACUUCAGCUUCCUGCCCAACUAAGGCUGUGUUUUUCCGUGACCUACUCAUCAGACCGAACCCAGACGAUACGUCCGUCCAAUGUGCCUGCACGGUCGCACAAAAGCAGCAUCCAAACACGCGGCGAAGCUUUCGUUUUCACCCUUCGACAUGGAACAUUUCAGCCAGUGCGUGUACGGGUUUAUCAAAUUUAAUUAACAUGUGAUUGUUAAAAAGGAAUAUUUCCAGCUCCGCCGCUUCGUUGUGGUGGUGGACGUUUGUGUUAUUUCUUGUUCGGUCCGUCAGUCUUCUCAAAUUUCAACCAAGCUCUCGCCACCACUCCAGGAGCACCUGUACCGGGCGGCAAUCUCAUUGAUUGCAAUCCGCAAAACAGGGCCCAGCCCAAUGCCCAAUGGACCUCCCAGACCGUUGCCCAGAGCCCGUCCCCGACCCUUGCCGUCCGCACCUUAGGAAAGGGUGUGAAUUUAUUCGAAGCGAAAUAACGAAAACACAGCAACGAUACGGGCUAGAAUGUUUUAUUGCUCAUCCUCUUUGUACGUACGCAGCGCUUUCCGGCUUGCCUCCCCCUCGCCGGAGUACAGGUAUCUUUGUAGCGUUAACUGUUGUUAAGAGCCUUUUACGAGAUGCACAAGAUAAAAGGUGAUGCCGGGGAUCGAAACGGAGAGAGAGACGAAACAAAAAGCCUUCCUCUGACCGGUUUACUUCCGUGGGUAAGCGUGAGUAGCGUCCCGCCAGCUUAGUCUUCUGAGAGUCAGAACCCGACCACGGCCACGGUCGGCGUCUCGAUUGAAAGCGCUCAAGCGAUCUUGAUCGAACUGAAGCGGUUUGUGUUGCGAUGGAUCUGAACGUCAAGGACACACUCUCGGUGGAAUUCGUCAGUGAAAUGCAGAACAAGUGGACACUUGUUCGAAUCAUUACGUACCUUUCCCAGGCGCACCGCGCCCGAAACAAUGGACGUGAUUGAGCUUUUAAGCUCGGGCGACGCAGCGCAUCAUGUUCUAGACACGCGAGCCACAAAGGACCACCCAGGUUGAGGUUCUAGCUAGCUCACCGAUCCAAAACCGACGACUUGUCCCCGAGGUGUGUCCCGUGUGUGGUUGGGAAUUUCUUCCCCAGCAUGCGCGGGCUACCGUACGCGAUCUGCACUCUGCUGAGCCUUUCUUCUGUCUGCACUUCGCGGUCAAAGACGUUCAUUCAUAAACCCUUCGCAUUAUCCGGCCCGGCCGAAAGGGUGUUUGUGCAACCCGGCCCAGGUAAAUGGCCCGCCGUUAAGUCGGGAGAUUAAUUGUGUGUUUGGUUUUGCGCGUUCCGGUUUGACCUCAUCGUAGCGGAUGGAGGACGCGAUGUCGCUCCGAUCCGUUGCCGUGUUAGCCGAGUGCGCUAUGCUCCAGAGGCGGCAAGCGUCUGCUGCAGCUGCGGUACCGUGUGCAUGCGGUCGAUCAAUGGGCCUGAUUGUUGCACGAUAUUGAGGUGACCUUAAAUAUUGCUAAAAGGUACCCGAUAUGUUUUAUUUUCUGUUUGCUAAGGUUGUUGGACAGGAAGUUCGGAUGCUCGCUGUACGUGCCGCAUGACGUAUGGGUUCGGGUUGGGAUGUCUUGGUGCAGGUCACGGAAAUUGUCCCGUUUAAGCGAUGUGAAAGUGACUCCCGUAAGCGGGAGUGGUCUUUUAAAACUCCACAAAAAACACAAUCAGCCUGAAUGUUCAAUGGUACCAUUUCUGGAGGGUCUGUAGUUCGAGUUUGGGAGAAAAAGGUCUUUAGGCCAUGGUUAAUUUGCAUACUUGAAAGUAAUAUCAUGUAGCGAAUGUUGUGUGAGGCAAAACAAGUUGGUACACUCUACGCAUACUAUACAAAACAAUUUGAUGUAUCAUAUUCUUGAAAACUUUAUAUUUUUGCCACUGUAUGACAGGCAACAAUCUACGGAAACCUCUCAAUGAAUGAUUUCAGAACCGUUUUCCCAAACUGCAAUAACCGACAGCUUUACAGCUCAACGAACACUCCAAACGCCCCAUUUCACCGUUGCUGACACGAUGAAUCAUUAAUAUUGUACCAAAAACUGAAUCCUUCCACCGUGUCUCACCGGGCUUUACAAGUUUGCUCCAUAAUCUCGGGCAAACACUGAUCCACCCAGCACUUCAAAGGGAUCAUCCCCGGGCGGCUGUCUGCCUACUCAACCCGACCAAAUUUCGCCGACAUCUCGCGACCAAAUAACUGCCAAAUACUUAAUUUAAUCCACCCUUUUCACCGAGCAAAUCUCAGCCAAAUUGACGAGUGAAAGACGACGGCAUUGGCCGUGAUUGCCGACCGAAGUGCGUGAUAAUCUACCGUGAUUCUUCCAAGGAGCACCCUCCCCCAAAACGGCCCAUGCCUGGACUGGUCCGGCCCCGGAGCGAUAAAUCAGCAACCAGCCACAAAACGAAUUCAUUCCCUUCCGGGCCAGCAUGCUCUACUCACUCCCUAGCCAAGCGGUUCCUGAAUGCUAAUAAAAUGUACCGACCGAGAGUAGCGCAGAGGUUGAACGCGUUUUCCCCCUGCAGGGGUCAAUUCUCCCUCGCGUAUGUACGCGUGUGUGUAUACCUCGUGCGCUGCCGUAGCAAAAGGGAAAACCGACAGCGCGGGUACUUUCGGUGAGGGUGAGCUCGACUCGAGUACACGGUGUACGCAGACAGUACAGGGGUACAGGAUAUUAAUAAACGUUUAAGGAUACAGCCAAUUGUGUAAGAACCGAAGCAAAUGCUUAAGGAUGGGAAACAAAUUGCCGCUUCUGCAUCCUUCCACUGCGGGUGGGUGUUUUUCGAGGCUUUUGGCCCAGUCCGGGAAGCGAAGGGUAGAUCGACAAUAGCAAUAGCAAGGACCUAGUACAAAUAGAGCGCCACGGGUGGUGUGUAUUGUUGUGCUGUUACACCGAUAUAGGGUGUGGGUGGGUAUUGUUUGGUGGCGUGAAAAUGGCAAGCUUUAUUACACUGUGUUUGAUAUCUAUAUUGUUUAGCUAAAGUAAUAGGAAAUACAGAAUUAUUUGCUGGUUGGCGUAGACGGAAA